GACACAUGAGAAAAUUCAAUCCUGAUAAUAAGUAUGCAAAGAUGCAAUAGUUAGGGAUAGCAGAUAGCCAAUUGAUGCUCCCAUGACAAUCUCUAUGAGAACAAAACCAAUGUCCACCAAAUUACACAAUGACAACCUUGAUAUCACCAUCAGUAAGAAUACAUGAGAACCAACAUACCAGCAUUACAACCAACUUGUGGUGCGAAAACUUGCACAUAGUUGCCACCUAAGUACUCUCUUCGUUCGAAGCUAUUUGUCGCUCU
rnacentral:lncRNA from 1 species